AAAUACUAUUAAACUUAUAGGUACGCUGGACUUGCGAUUGCCGAGCUGUUUUUUGAAGUAACUUGAUUUUCG